GGUGGUUUUUUGUGUGUGUUGAGAAGUGGAACAGGAAAGUUAUGCUGGGCCCUUUUUGAAGGGUAGGAUGUGGUCUCCCUUAACUGCAAAGCCUGUUUCAAUGGGAAGGAUGAGAUGUCUACAAGAGCCUGUUUCACAAACCAGCAGGACAACCGCAUUUGAAACUACACAGAUCUCAAGUUGGGACCAGAUGGGGUUUCUGUGUUCUUGUUACAAACCGAUCCACAACAUCAAACAUCUCUCUGGCUAUGUUCUCCCAAUUAUAUUUCAACUGUGAUACUACAAAUGCUAUUGGGUAAGAAGACAGGCCUGUAUAGACUUGUUACAUUAAAAAAACAAACCAACAACAACAAAA